CUUCCUGUGCCUACUGAGCUGAUAUGCAGUUGUACAGAACCACUGGCUCAGUUCAGCAGGAACAGGAGUC
ensembl:miRNA microRNA 3074